rnacentral:rRNA from 1 species
UACGGGGGGUGCAAGCGUUGUUCGGAAUUACUGGGCGUAAAGGGCUCGUAGGCGGCCAACUAAGUCAGACGUGAAAUCCCUCGGCUUAACCGGGGAACUGCGUCUGAUACUGGAUGGCUAGAGAUUGGGAGAGGGAUGCGGAAUUCCAGGUGUAGCGGUGAAAUGCGUAGAUAUCUGGAGGAACACCGGUGGCGAAGGCGGCAUCCUGGACCGGCAUUGACGCUGAGGCGCGAAAGCCAGGGGAGCAAACGGG